UAGAUGCGAGAGUAGAGCAUAUCAAUAAGCGGAGGAAAAGAAACUAACAAGGAUCCCCUUAGUAACGGCGAGUGAAGCGGGAAGAGCUCAAACUUGAAAUCUUCAAGGUUCUACCUUGACGAAUUGUAGUUUAUAGAAGUGUUUUCUGUUAGUAGAGUGGCAAAAGUUCUUUGGAAUAGGACAUCAUAGAGGGUGAGAAUCCCGUAUUUGGUCAUUCUUUCUAGCUUUGUGAUACACUUUCAACGAGUCGGAUUGUUUGGGAAUGCAGCCCAAAAUGGGUGGUAAAUUCCAUAUAAAGCUAAAUAUUGGCGAGAGACCGAUAGCGAACAAGUACCGUGGGGGAAAGAUGAAAAGAACUUUGAAAAGAGAGUUAAACAGUACGUGAAAUUGUCAAAAGGGAAGCGUUUGACACCAGUGUUGUUUUUCCGAAAAUCAAUUACGAAUGUUUUGAUUUUUGAGAAGUUAUGACUUCAUCGGCUUGCCUUCUCUCUUUAUGAAACUUUCUUAAUGCACUUUUCGGUUAACAAGUCAACAUCAAUUUCUUUUGUUGUAAAAGGGUAUGAGGAAGGUGGCUUUCUUUUCGGAGAAAGUGUUUAUAGCCUUGUACCUCUGCAAUCGGAGAGAUUGAGGUCUGCAGCGUAGAUCCUUCGGGGUUAGAUACAUUUGUGCUAAGUUAUAGCUUUUCAUAGACAACUUGUUGACUAUGUUUAGUCUUGUAGCUUACUCGCUUAUGCUAUUUUACCUACGCUUAGGAUGUUGACACACGCGCGUGCUCG
rnacentral:rRNA from 1 species